rnacentral:tRNA from 1 species
UUAUAUUUAAGUGUUAGAAGCAUAGGAAAUUUUGAUUUUCCAGGGUAUGGUUUGAUUCCAUAAAAUAUAAU